CAGCAGUAGCCGCGGUAAUACAGAGGAUACAAGCGUUAUCUGGAAUUAUUGGGCGUAAAGCAUCUGUAGGUGGCUUUUCAAGUCCGCCGUCAAAUACCCGGGCUCAACCCUGGACAGGUAGUGGAAACUACCAAGCUGGAGUACGGUAGGGACAGAGGGAAUUUCCAGUGGAGCGGUGAAAUGUGUUGAGAUUGGAAAGAACACCAACGAUGAAAGCACUUUCCUGGGCCGAAACUAACACUGAGAGAUGAAAGCUAGGGGAGAAAAUGGGAUUAGAUACCCCCGUAGUCCCUGUCUCUUAUAC
rnacentral:rRNA from 1 species